AGGCAAGGUAGCCUAGCUGUUGUAAACUCGCACGAUGCAACAGAUUUAGUCAGCGGUUGUGAGCUGCCUGAGAAUUCUGAGGAUCCCUAGCAAGGCGGAAUUGGCAGCAGCAGAAGCUUGGCUAAACAAAAUGGGAACAAGUGUCUCCAUUCAUCUGUUCAACAAUUCAUCUGCCAUCCUGACAAAUCCACAGGUUCACACCCACGGUGGGUACUGCGUAACGUCCCCACAACUCACAGUGGAAAAGGGGGCCACAGUUAAGUGUGCUUUUGGAAAAACUGCGGGAACUGCACGUGGUGCCAUGGGGGUCCUGACUUAUGACAUCGCUGAAGACCAGGAGAUGGAAGCAGUGAAGCGUCUGGCCAUCUUGUUCUCUG